AGGUCACUUAUUUGGGGAUGAUGAAGAGGACACUAGCCAAUAGAACCAAGGUUUCAUCUGUCUUUGCCAUGAGGACACUCAAGGAUGAUUUGACCCAGAUGAGACAAUUGCUCCUAGGAUCAUCAGCUGCUACACUCUGCUACCAGAGCCGUGUCUGAUCUCCCAAACCCAUGGAAGUCCUGUACAGCUACAUUAGAGGACUAAGCAGUUG
rnacentral:lncRNA from 1 species